GACGAACGCUGGCGGCGUGCUUAACACAUGCAAGUCGAACGGAAAGGCCCUGCUUGCAGGGUACUCGAGUGGCGAACGGGUGAGUAACACGUGGGUGAUCUGCCCUGCACUUCGGGAUAAGCCUGGGAAACUGGGUCUAAUACCGGAUAGGAGCCAUUUUUAGUGUGAUGGUUGGAAAGUUUUUUCGGUGUAGGAUGAGCUCGCGGCCUAUCAGCUUGUUGGUGGGGUAAUGGCCUACCAAGGCGGCGACGGGUAGCCGGCCUGAGAGGGUGGACGGCCACAUUGGGACUGAGGUACGGCCCAGACUCCUAAGGGAGGCAGCAGUGGGGAAGAUUGCACAAUGGGCGCAAGCCUGAUGCAGCGACGCCGCGGGGGGGAGGACGGCCUUCGGGUUGUAAACUCCUUUCGCUAGGGACGAAGCUUUUUGUGACGGUACCUAGAGAAGAAGCACCGGCUAACUACGUG
rnacentral:rRNA from 1 species